AGAGACCUUCGGGGCAGGGUGUAAUUCCCGACCGGCGGUGAGGCGAAUAGUUGAUAUAUUCGUCAAGCCCGCGAGUUAUCGGUGAGCCAGUGUUGGCGAGCUGUUUGACAGAUUCGGUGCGAAUCCGAAGCCGACGGUUACAGUCCGGAUGGGAGAAGGUUCAG
rfam:Ktedonobacter sp. 13_2_20CM_53_11 13_2_20cm_scaffold_4117, whole genome shotgun sequence.